UGCUAGGCAACAGAGAGGCGCCCCGUGCGGGGCGGGGCCUAAGGAGCUCUGCCAAGAGGUUCGGGGCUGAUUCUGGAGCACCGAGGUAGCUCCGCCCGUUUCGUUAAGUAUCCCGCCAACGCUCCCCGCCCAGGAGUCGCGGGCUCUCCUAGACUAAGCCUAGCCCGAAACACUGCAGAGAGUUAGUGACUCCCUAAGAUGUACUACCCUUCAAGAUCCUCCAUGGAGGUAGUGAAUUUGGAGUCUGGGAACCUGGAGUCAGGGUUCAAAUUCCAGCUUGAUUACUGCCUGCUACUUUCAUGACCUUUGGAAAAUCAAGAAAUUUUUAUGUCAAUAAACAGAACUGGAGAAAAGAUCUUGUAUGCUACACGAUAUUUACUACUUCUUGAGGAAAAAAAUUCAUCCUACUGAAGGAAAAGGAAGAGUUUUACUUUUAUGAAAUGUCUGGUAACAUUUGGGAAUCCUUUCCUGUUGCUGUCCAACAAAUGCAUUCCAUGAAAUUAGCAUUUUUUGCUCAGCUUUCUUAAAAAAAAAAAAAAAUUAAAUGCCACUGCUUGAUUGUGGGGGAAAAAUAAGGCAGUCUGCCAAUUUCUCAGUCACCUUUGAAUACCUUGGCUAAAGUUGUUAACAGCAAUUUGGCUUUGGAAUGAGCUUACAAGGAAAGAAUGUCUCCUUCAGAGAUAUUUACCCUUUUCAUGAGACUUAUAAAACAUGGCACUUGCAUAGUCAAGGCACAAAAAGGCAGGAGAAAAGGUUGCUUGCUUAUUUUUGUGCUUAAAUUAUACCUAUUUUCCUUUUUUUUUUGGGGGGGGGGUUAUAUACUCCCCCUCCAAAGGAAGAGAAUACAAAGAGGUACUUCAAGAAAACAAUGAAUAGGAAGGAAAAUGCAAUCACUCAGAUCUCAAACUAGAUCUUGCUUUUCUUAGAGACAGAACAUUAUUUGAUAUUAUUUACCAAAUGCAUCAGAAGUCUUACUUUUACCUUAUUUCCAAAUCUUCCAUUUAUUAACAAAAUUAGGCAACUUUCAUUUUUAAUAAUUGUUUGUGAUUCUGUUUUUCCCUGGAAAAAAGGAUAACCUAUCUAAAUAAAAUAUCCCAUGGGCUGAAAGUCCAGUAACAUAAAAUACAAUUUAAAAACAAAAGAAAGUUA